GGAAGAUUAAGGCCUGAGUCAAUCCACAAGAAACCAGGAAGACGUCUUUUGGGUUUCCACCAGCUCAUCAAAUGAGAUCAAGAUGAGAGCCAGAGUGAGUCCAGCAAAGGAAAUCAUUUGGAUGCUGCCAAAGAAACAACUCUAUGUGCGGGCCUGUAUCCUGGGACUCAGCCCCCCAAGCCUCUGGAUGGACAUUCUCCUAGGAGUCCAUUUCCCAGGGUCCCUGGGGACUCUCCAAGGCUGACCUCCCUCCCCGAGAGUCUUCCUGACCUGUGGCAGGAUGUGG